ensembl:lncRNA
UUUAGUUUGUUUGGCUAGAAACACGCAGCUCCAAAGCUCCCUUUGGCUCCUUUUCCCUAUGACACUCAUAGCUCAGAAUCAACACGUGACUUCCAUUUCACGGAUAAUGCAGCUGCUACAUUUCCAAGUUUGCCUGACUCCCAGAUUUCCCCUUGUUUAACCUCAGGACUGCCUUGGGAUUUUCCUCAAGGCUGCCAAAGUCAGCUUCUCCUCCUCUUCAGAACUUCCUCAGCUCCGCUGCUUAGGGACAGAACCUCUCACUGGAUGCAACCCACGUGCUGCAGCUGUGCUUCCCGAGGGCCACAGAGGGAGGAGCACGGUGCUGAUCUGAGAAGAGGCUUGAAUGGAUGCCUUCCUGGGUAUCUCACGUCUUCUACAGUCCCUUGGAUUUUGCAAGUUGGAGGUUUGAUGUACCGCAGCAAUAGCAACUACACUGUGAAGAUGGGAGAGUGUGACACCCAAAAAAAGGAAAAUUGAAGGAAGACAUUCAAGUAUUAGAUUUAGAAGCAAGUAAGUAGUAGGCCAGUGUGCCCGUCAGAAUCUGAAUGACAGAACUGUGUAUUCUGAUGAAUUUGUGUUUCAAAUUUGGUCUCCCGCCGACACUGCUCUAUAGCCCAUGAAGUUUCUGUAGAGAGGGAGAACUCAGCCAUGUGCAGCUCUUGCUUAAGUGGACGCUGGGGUCUGGCCUGGGUUUUGAUGGCAUAAGUUAUGGUGAGGCUGUGGGCUGAGAACCUCUUCUUUUUCAGCAGGUAAGCAUAUUUUGAAGGUCUCCAGUAAGAGAGCAUUUAACAAGCCUCUGCUGGAAUGAGCACCAACAGAUUGUAAAUUGCAAAGAGCAAUGUAAUUGAAUCUGAUCUCUGGCUUUUACCCAGCGUAGUAAUUGGAAAUUGCCUUUCUUUCAACUAUAUGCCGUUGCUAGGAUGGUUACCUCUUUUCAAGACAGAAUAAUGUCAAGUAAGAAGUGGUUUACAGUCCCCUUGGUACUGGUGGAGAAUGAGAAAGUGAAGACUUUCCUCACUUUCUUGUACUUCCUGCUGUGUCAGUGGUAUUACACUAAGUACUGCACAGUAAUUAACAGCUUAGCAAACAUGAACUCAGUCCUUGAAUAGCCACGGCCUGAAGCCCAAAUAUCAGCACUCUGUUCCAGC